rnacentral:rRNA from 1 species
CUACGUGCCAGCAGCCGCGGUAAUACGUAGGUGGCAAGCGUUGUCCGGAAUUAUUGGGCGUAAAGCGCGCGCAGGCGGAUCUGCCAGUCUGUCUUAAAAGUUCGGGGCUCAACCCCGUGAUGGGAUGGAAACUACAGAUCUAGAGUAUCGGAGGGGAAAGUGGAAUUCCUAGUGUAGCGGUGAAAUGCGUAGAUAUUAGGAAGAACACCAGUGGCGAAGGCGACUUUCUGGACGAAAACUGACGCUGAGGCGCGAAAGCCAGGGGAGCGAACGGGAUUAGAUACCCCGGUAGUCCUGGCCGUAAACGAUGGGUACUAGGUGUAGGAGGUAUCGACCCCUUCUGUGCCGGAGUUAACGCAAUAAGUACCCCGCCUGGGGAGUACGACCGCAAGGUUGAAACUCAAAGGAAUUGACGGGGGCCCGCACAAGCGGUGGAGUAUGUGGUUUAAUUCGACGCAACGCGAAGAACCUUACCAGGUCUUGACAU